AUGGCGGUGGUGCACAUCCCGCGCCAAUUCAAGGUGUCGGACUGUUUCCUGAACAGGAAGAAGGACUACAAGGACGGGACGUUCUCCUAG
rnacentral:rRNA from 1 species